rnacentral:tRNA from 1 species
AGCUCGGUAGCUUAGUUGGUAAUGCACUCGUUUAGCAUACAAGAGUCGUGGGUUCGAGUCCCAUCUGAGCAC